GACCUAACCAGAGCUUGCAGAGAAGACCAAAGUCAACUGAAAAGUUAUCUGGGGUGAAAUUAAUUACUAAAAAUUAUUUAAAGAAAUAAUUGGUUAAGAACCUACCCGUAGAUGUACAUGGGUGAGCCGGCCAAAGUCAAGCUUGUGUGUAGUCUAUGUGGAUUCUAGUGCCCACUAAGAAAUUAGGAUAAGUUCUCGAAUUAGAGG
rnacentral:lncRNA from 1 species